UUAAUACUGUACUAUUUACAGUGUUUUUUUCACAUUGCCAAGAAUAUUGUAAUUGCAAAAAUACCCUGAAAUAUAGUGUCCACAAAGUUUUGAACAUGUAGUGUAUUUUGGGUAGGUAUUUAUAAUGAUAUAAAGCUUCACACUCCUCUGCUCUGAGAAUCACUGAAGAAUAGAAUCUUUGCAUGGUAGAAUUCUGUGACAUCAUCAGCCAGUUCAGAUUAGUUCAUAUCAAAACACUCCUCACUUCGCUGGUUCUACUGAGCAUGGAACAACUGGUUUUCCUGGUGCUGAAUAUUUCAGAAACAUUUUCCACUGCUUUUCUUCUGCAGAUCUGUCCAGAUUUCCUCUCUGUUGGUUACGUUAACCUGGGUUGGAAAUGUCUUCACUAGAAGAAAGAGGGAACAGUGUGGAGGUCAACGAGCUGGAGCCUGAGCUAGCUGUUAGUGCUUUUACCAGCGUCAUUAACCACUGAGAAGAGCAUCUGUUCUACAAACUCUAUCAUCAAAAGUCUCAAAGAAUUAGUGGUCACUCCCUACUGUCUUGGUGUUGACCCAUCACCUACAGAGUCUUAUGAUCCUCUGACAAAGGCAGAGAAAAAUGAUGAGCUAGCACGUGAGGAUGUUUUGUCCAAUGAGAGCGCUGAAAAAGCAGCCAGUUCAUCGUGUUUAUGCUCAUUCCAGAGUAAGGACAGAUGCUAUUGUGAUUUUAAAUCACUGUGGUACAUGCCAGACCACCAGCACUACCUCAGGUGUGCAAAAAGUACACACGAACCCAGGGCGUUCACAGAAUGGUGGAAUGACGAGGACUUGGAGAUCACUGACGCGUUCAGUGGACGGUAUAAGACAACAGACAGAAUCUAUAAGACCAAAUUAGCUCGAAAAACUCCGAUGCCUCCUAAACAAAAAUUCUCAUGCAAAAGCAAGUGUGAGCUUUCAGAAGAAGAGGAGGAGGAGGUGUGAAGGAACUUCCUGCAAAGAAAAGCCAAAUGGAUUGAAAGCAAGAAGGAGAUAAAGGUUGAUGAAGAGGACGAUCCAGCGCUGCCCACUGUCAUCCACUGAUUUCCUUUAUCAUUUUUUCUUCCUUAAUUUUCUUUCCUUCUCUUUUGUGUAAAUAUUAAUACAUUUACUAGCAUCA